GAUGUUUUCAAGGUUUUGCUGUGUAUAGAAUUGCGAGAAGAGAAGCAAAGGAACAGGAGCUAACUAGUGUGGAUGUGUGAAGAAGAUUAUCCCACCAUGGAAUGAGCUGUGAGCAAGAACCACUUGGGGUCCCUCCUCCAUUAUGGAGUGCAUAUGCUGAAGCUGUGGUGAGGAGAAUCUACGUUGCAUAGAGCUGGGUUGGAGUGACCAGAAAUGAAUACAGCAAUAAGCCUUGCUGUGGAGCAAUGUGUUUUCUCUGCUAAUUUGGAAAGAAU